UCGUUUCAUCGUGCCACAUUAAAACACAACGUUUUAUAGCCGUGAAGGGGGCAAACGUUGGUGUGAAUGUUUUGAUUGUUCAACAAGUCCGACAAAAAAAAAAAAAGUUGCUCAGUUGUUAGAGAGCCGGGUGUUGUGCUUGGCCCGGGGACUCUGUUGACAACUGUUGAGCUGGACACAGCAAGUCAUUACCCGAAAAAAUGAAUCACGGUGGAAAGAUUUUCUGUGACUGUGUGAGAUUCACGAGAAGAGCGAAAGGAUACAGGCAAAAUAUUCCAGCCCCGCUAACCAGGCAACUACGGGGAACAUAAAAUGAGUCAUAGUGAGCUGAGCUGGCUUAUUUAGACAAUGUGUGUGUGUGUGCGUUUGUGUGUAAAACUGGAUUAUUCUGGUUGGAUUUUGGGAAGAAGGCUCACUCAUUUCUGUUUGUCUCUCGCACUACGUCAGUUUCGUCUGUAAUUGCCCCCGUUGCUCAGUCUUCCUCUCAUAAACAUGUAGUGUCACCCACCUACAUUCACUCACACACACACACACACAUACGAGAGCAAAAACAGCAACUUUUGACACACACGCACAUUUUUUCCUACAAGUGUCAUAGCAAAAUAAGGAACUGAGGCAACUCACUUUUGAAUCAUUGUAAUUACCUGUACUGAGGUAGGCAGUAAAAACAGUUGUUAAACAUUGUCACCUCCAUAGAAGUCUGUUGGCUUGUAUCCAGAUAUGUGUGUGUGUGUCUGUGUGUGUGUGCAUGUGGUGUUAUGCAUUGUAUAUGUACUAUUUUAUCAGUGACAACAGUCAACAUUAACCCUUUAAAAUGUCAUUCCACUUAUGCUCAGUGCUCAGUUGAGCAAACUUGGCACUCGAUGGACCUUGAUCCACCCUCCCGUCCCCUGUUAAACUUUUAUGUGCUAGUUUUGUCUCUGCUGACAAAGAAGAAAAAACAAGUUCAGAAGACGGUUGAAAGAUGCUGAUAGGGGACCACGACCUGUACUUUGAUACCCUGAUCACAUGGAAGGCGUGUCACAUCUUAAGUUUGGCAAAUGUUGGCAAAACGCUCCUAACUAGCUAAUGUGUUACUUUUAGCUAAGGUUAGACCCAAGAACGUUAGCUAACGAACAGAAAUUAAUUACUGUUAGCCAAAAAAAUGUUGUGACAUUAUAUAGAUGGCAUUAUCUCUGAGGAAACGUCACGUUGUAUGUCACAUCUUAGCUAAUGUUAGUUAUAAAUGCUACCUAACUUGCUAGCUAACUGUUUGCUAACAUUACAUCAAGGGGAGUUCGCCUAAUGUGCGAUCACCGACGCCAGCCAGGUUUGCUUCCAUCUUAUUUUUGCGGGAAGACCAAAAAAUAUUUGGAAAUGGACAGAGGUUGGGUUGUGACGUUGUUUUAAUUAUCAUUAGCCAGGAAACACAGCUAAAAAAGGUUACGUCACAAUGUUAAGUCACAUUAUAUUAGAUGCCAAGAUCUUUAAGACACAUCAUAUUGUACAUUCACAUUUUUUUGUUAGCUAAUGUGUAACUUUUAGCUACUAACGUUAUAUCAAGAGGAGCUAGCCAAAUGUCAGCAACGUUAGGCAGGGUUGCUUUCUCCCUAGUCACGUGGAAAAGACUUGGGGAAAUAAAAAAACAGAUAGGUUAGUUGUUGACACAUUUUUAACAUGAAUAAGCUAGAAAACAAAGGUUACAAAAGUCAUUAAAAUGUAAAGAUACAUUGUUAAGAUUCAGUGAUCUUCACGGGCACAUCACAUUCUGCAGUCACACUUAGCUGACGUUAGCAAACUGCUACCUAACUUGCUAGGUAAAGUUUAACUGUUAGCUAAUGUUACAGAAAAGCUAGUGUAAUGUUGGCCAGGUUUGCUUCCUCCUUGUCUCUGUAUUGACGUUCAAAUGAUUACAAACAGACAAACAGGUCUGCUUUGGACUUAUUUUUAAUAUGACAGACAUGAAUUAUCGGUACCCAGACGACAAAGGUAUCACUAUGUCAUUAGAUAGAUGCCACGAUCUUCACGGGCACAUCACAUUGUAUAUAGUCACAUAUUAGUUUGGCUAACGUGUAAUGGUUGGCUAACGUUACAUCAAGAGGAGUCUAUUCUAGUUUUGCUUCCAUCUCAUUAAGAUUCUGGUUAGCUAGCUAGAAGACAUCAAGGCUUCUCUUGUUUUGUCGAGACUGGAAUGACUUUUCAUUAAUACACAGUUUUGCCCUGAUCAUAAAACGAAUCAUUAUGAAAAUAUCGUACUGUACUCUUCCAUUGCGUACUGUAUUCCUUGCUCUCGGCUUCUUGGAGCCAUAUGGUGAAGUCCUCCAUCUCUUUCUCAAUCUCUCUCUCACACACACACAAACACACACACACCCAUUCUCUUACACAAAGACACCUCACUCACUGUUUCUCAUACACACACUAUCACCAGUCAAGCCGUAAAAAGUCAACUCAAUUAAAGUGCCUCAUUUCCUGGAAGCCAGCCUCAGACAGAAUAGUAGGUAUGCAGGGAAUGGGACCUGUGUGCGUGCGUGUGUGUGUGUAUGUGUGUGUGUGGAGUAUAGAAAACUGAACUCACCCUCUGCUUAAUUUUACCAGCAGCAAUUUACACACACACUCUCUCUAUCAGCACUCUGAACACUAAAACCGCAGGCCGUCAUAAAUCUUCUCCACGUGGACCCUUUCACCUAUUUGACCUCACACACACACGCACACAUGUAUAUCCACACACACACACACACACACACACACACACACACACACACACACUCUCUCUCUCUCUCUCUCUAGAGGACACCAUCCUCACUCAGCCCCUCAGGCAGGAUGUAUAAAACCGUACUGCAUUCCUUUCCAGUUAGGUCCAGCCCAAAGUGAGCUUUCUACACAGUGACUGCUGUGUCAAAGUGUGUGUGUGUGUGUGUGGUGGUGUUAACAUAACUGAGUGCUUCUGGGAAUCCCUUUGUUGCUGUGUGUUGUGUACUCCUUUCUGCAGGGCACGUCUGACAUAAACUGUGACGCCCCCCCUCCCUCCCUCCCCUCCUUCCUAUAUGCUCUCUCUGAUGACUAUGGAAUUUACCCACAAUGCUCUGGCAGAGAAAAAAAGAAGUGAUGAUUGCAGUAAUUUUAACCCUGCGAUGAGCGUGUGCGCAUCGUCCCUGCGCUCGGCUCUGCUCUUUAAAAAAAAACAAAAAACAGGCCUGCCGACUGAAUAAACACCGCUUUGUUUGCCUAGGAAAUCCCAUUUGUCAGUAAUAAUCUGGUUUUCGGGCCGGGCAGUGCCGGAAUACAAACUGCUUCACAAUGUUUUACGGUAAAUUAGAGCUUAUCCAGUAAAUAUUGACUCAAUUGAGCAACAGAGAAAAAGAGGAGAGACACACAGUGAAGCAACACACGGGGCAAACGCAUUGACUUUUGUAAAAAUAGUGCUCUUUAAUAUAAAUUAUUGAAAUAUUUUAGAAAUAUAAAUAUGUGCAACGUUUCCAUUUAUUUUAUUUAUUUCUUUUUUUUUUGUAAUGCUUUGUCAUUUUCAGAUAUUACAGCUUGUGUUCUGCCAGACUAGUGGCCAGCCUUUGAGCGAGAGAGUCUUUAUAAAAGACAAAUGGUUUCACAUACAUGUGUGGUUCCACCGGCUGCGACACAUGUACCAACAAAAAAAAAAAAAAA